UGCGAAAGUUCGAACUGGAAGUCUGUAGAGAUGAACCACCUCAUUUUCGUGUGGUAUCACGCUGAAGGAGAGGAUCCCUCCUACGAGAUACAACCGUUUGCAGAUAUUAUGGAUGGAAGUUACAAGUACAUGGGUCGUUUUGAAUAUCUGCUGGAUGCUCAUAUUGAGAGUGUUGAUGGCGGGCGUUGAUUUGGACGGUUCGAGGAGGAGAUGGCUUUCGAAAUUCAUCAAUCUCACGCAAUUAUCAGGCUGGAAACCUGAUGCAGAGCUGCCUCAUGUGUCGUGGUUUUGGAAUGAAAUGCAUUUAAAACUUUUCAGUACAAUUACUUUCAUGAAGAGUAAUAUUGUUGCAAGAAACACCGGACCAAGCUACUUCGAGUUCACCGGAUCAACAACUUUUGGAAACCCUAGGUUUACAAUGUGUCUUACGCCAGUUGCACCCCUCACCCUCCGACUAACGACGCGGUUCUAUAUGCGGCCAUAUGCAAUCCUCGCAGGACGAAUCUCGUUGUAUGGAUAUAAAAAUAUCAUGAUGGAUGACAUCAUGGUAUGGAAUUACGGGAAAGCAAGACCAAACCUGAAUGUUAUAAAGGAAGAUGGAUCCAUAGCCCCAUUCAGACGAUGGUACAGUCAAUUCUAUUCGAAAAAACAGUCCUUCCUUGAACUGUCAGGAUACUAUUUUUUAGCAAGUUUUAAAGACCAAGUCCUCUCUAUUUGACAUCCUUUAAAUGAAGUCUAUGAGGUAGCCGCUAAGCAAAAAUAUGGAAGACUUCGGAGGAAAAUAUAAUAUUUGUACCCCUUUCUUCACACUUCUAAUUUUAUGAUCAAACUCACUUCAGGUGCCUCAUAGCCAUUAGAUGUUUCGGAGGCUAAUACAUCUCAUAUACUACACUGUUAAAAAUAACUAAGGGGCUACGACCCCUGACCGCUACGCGGGCCAACCCCCCGAGGGGCCACUUCACGGACUUUUAAGCGCUCAGCCGAUAGGCAGCGCUUUUUGAUUGCGACUUGCCUCUAGAAUACUAUUACACUAGUGCUAAUUCGUUCAAAUGGCUCACCAGCUCAUCGAUGCGACAGCGGAUAGGGGCCGUACAAUUUUAGAAUAAAUAAAUCUGUGAUAACCGUAUUUAUGCGUCUUAACCUAAUGCGCGGGUAGUUACGACCGCUUUUCUAAAAUAAAUUGCUUUAGCGGUAGAGUAAUUCUUACCGAAAUUGAUCGUUGAAAAUUUGACGAGAGGAAUGAAACUCGCCUGAUGAACUCAACGGUGUUUAUCAUUUUCGGGAAACGAAAAAACGCGUUUACAUAGGUAGAGGUUUUAAGAGGUAGUGGCUAGUUAGGCUUCGAAAAACAGCUGUGAAGCAUGUGGCCAAUAAGUGCACGUAAUCUCUGAACAUGCCUCUUAAUUCUCCGACCUAUAAGUCCAUUUUUAGUUAAAGAUACAUUCAUUUUAACGGGUUAUGCAUCUCCUAAAAUUGGAAAACAUUAAUUAAAAAAAAAGUAUGCUUCUGGUUUAAAAAAAAAAUUCCACACAACUCACCAGUCAUUCUCAUUGGUGAUUUAAUAUGGAAAAUACUAAACUCACAAUCAACAAUACUUCGAAUCAAUUUUGUCACCCACUCAACUUUAUGGAGCCUUACCUAAUAAUUCAAUAACGACAAUUUAUAAUUCCUACAUAGAUGUUAUUUAUACCAACAAACCAAUGUAUAACGCAUGUGUACAUACUACGUUCUAUAGCGAUCAUUUCGCUGUUUACAUUCAAUUGUUAACAAUGUGAAUUCAGAAGGGCAAAUAAAGAAAUGUGUAAGUAUAUAAAAUUUGUAUUCUUCACUAAAUACAUAGACUAACACCUGAGCGCUUUUCUAAUACGACCGUAUUAGAACUUUCCCGCUUGUUUGUGAGUUGAUCUAGUAUGAAAUGAGACAAAAGCUGCACAUUAAAAAAAUAUUAAACAAUAUUUUAUCGCAGUUCUAUAAAGUAUGCGUUGGGGCCAUUUAUAUACGAGGGGCGUUCAAUAAGUAAGUAUCCCCCCUCUCUAAAAUCCAUAAGAAUGGACCAAUUUUAAAAAACUUGGGCUCAAAAUCUUCCUUAGGAUAUUUUGAGUUCAACAAAACAAACCGCAACAAAAUCGGACUAUGUGCGGCCGAACGCGAGCCGUUUGAUCCCGCCGAGGUGCUCGACGCUCCCGCCGAAUCUGCGAGGAUUUGAAGUCCGCUACAGGAGAAGAGCUUCUCUGCCAAAGCCUCAGUCGUUCAUCACUGACGAAAAAUCAAAGAAAUUUUUGUAGAAUAAGGGGCUUCCCUCACUUCUCCACAUAACCAGCUCGAUCCAAGCAAGUCUGAUACUGAGACUAAGACUAAGAGAACAGCUUUUGGAUGCCUCGUGCGUGGAAGUCUUUCAGCUGACCGCGGAUGAAAGAGUGGACGGCUUGUUUGACCUCUUCCACUGAUUCAAAAUAAACUCCUCCGAGUUCAGAUUUCAGGAACGGGAAUAAAUGGUGGUCUGGUUUGCCAUUCAUUAUCGUAUCUGAAAUCUGAACUCGGAGGAGUUUAUUUUGAAUCAGUGGAAGAGGUCAAACAAGCCGUCCACUCUUUCAUCCGCGGUCAGCUGAAAGACUUCCACGCACGAGGCAUCCAAAAGCUGUUCUCUUAGUCUUAGUCUCAGUAUCAGACUUGCUUGGAUCGAGCUGGUUAUGUGGAGAAGUGAGGGAAGCCCCUUAUUCUACAAAAUUUCUUUGAUUUUCGUCAGUGAUGAACGACUGAGGCUUUGGCAGAGAAGCUCUUCUCCUGUAGCGGACUUCAAA
rnacentral:lncRNA from 1 species